AUUGAACGCUGGCGGCAGGCCUAACACAUGCAAGUCGAACGAGUGGCGGACGGGUGAGUAAUGUCUGGGCAACUGCCCGAUGGAGGGGGCUAACUACUGGAAACAGUAGCUAAUACCGCAUACCAUCGGAUGUGCCCAGAUGGGAUUAGCUAGUAGGGGUGCUAACGGCUCACCAGGGCGACGAUCCCUAGCUGGUCUGAGAGGAUGACCAGCCACACUGGAACUGAGACACGGUCCAGACUCCUACGGGAGGCAGCAGUGGGGAAUAUUGCACAAUGGGCGCAAGCCUGAUGCAGCCAUGCCGCGUGUAUGAAGAAGGCCUUCGGGUUGUAAAGUACUUUCAGCGAGGAGGCGUUACUCGAAGAAGAAGCACCGGCUAACUACGUGCCAGCAGCCGCGGUAAUUC
rnacentral:rRNA from 1 species